rnacentral:rRNA from 1 species
GGGGAAUUUUGGACAAUGGGGGCAACCCUGAUCCAGCCAUGCCGCGUGAGUGAAGAAGGCCUUCGGGUUGUAAAGCUCUUUCGGCCGGGAAGAAAUCUCUCAGGAUAAUACCUUGGGAGGAUGACGGUACCGUAAGAAGAAGCACCGGCUAACUACGUGCCAGCAGCCGCGGUAAUACGUAGGGUGCGAGCGUUAAUCGGAAUUACUGGGCGUAAAGCGAGCGCAGGCGGUUGUGUAAGACAGGUGUGAAAUCCCCGGGCUUAACCUGGGAACUGCGCUUGUGACUGCACGGCUAGAGUACGGCAGAGGGGGGUGGAAUUCCACGUGUAGCAGUGAAAUGCGUAGAGAUGUGGAGGAACACCGAUGGCGAAGGCAGCCCCCUGGGCCUGUACUGACGCUCAUGCACGAAAGCGUGGGGAGCAAACA